GCGAAACCGUGUGAUCUACCCAUGGGCAGGCUGAAGCUGUAGUAACAUACAGUGGAGGGCCGAACCGGUUGACGUUGAAAAGUCUUCGGAUGACCUGUGGGUAGGGGUGAAAGGCCAAUCAAACUCGGAAAUAGCUCGUACUCCCCGAAAUGCAUUUAGGUGCAGCGUUGUAUGUAUUUAUAUAGAGGUAGAGCUACUGAUUGGAUGCGGGGGCUUCACCGCCUACCAAUUCCUGACAAACUCCGAAUGCUAUGAAAUGUUAAUCAGCAGUGAGGGCAUGGGUGCUAAGGUCCAUGUCCGAGAGGGAAAGAACCCAGACCAUCAGCUAAGGUCCCAAAAUAUAUGUUAAGUUGAAAUAACGAGGUUGGACUGCCCAGACAGCUAGGAUGUUGGCUUGGAAGCAGCCAUUCAUUUAAAGAGUGCGUAACAGCUCACUAGUCGAGCGGUCCGGCAUGGAUAAUAAUCGGGCAUAAACAUAUUACCGAAGCUAUGGCAUCGAAAGAUGGGUAGGGGAGCAUUGUAGUGUCGUCGAAGGUGUGUCGUGAGGCAUGCUGGAGAAGCUACAAAAGAAAAUGUAGGCAUAAGUAACGAUAAUGCGGGCGAGAAACCCGCACACCGAAAGACCAAGGUUUCCUCAGCUAUGCUAAUCAGCUGAGGGUUAGUCAGGACCUAACGCGAACCCGAACGGGGUAGUGGAUGGACAACGGGUUAAUAUUCCCGUACCUGCUCACACUAAAAGUGACGGAUCUCUGGAGUUGCUGCGUACUGACGGAAUAGUACGUUGAAGCAGUAAUGCGAUAGUACACUAAGGCUACGGCCGCGGUGAUAAUGUAGCGAAGGAGGUUCCAAGAAAAGCGAGUGAAGCAGCCUGUACCGUAAACCGACACAGGUGGUUGGGAUGAGAAUUCUAAGGAGCUCGAGAGAUUCAUGGCUAAGGAACUAGGCAAAAU
rnacentral:rRNA from 1 species